GUUGUGUGUUGUAUAUUGUUUGUCUAUUUACUCUGAGUAGUCAGGUCCAGACCAUGUGUUGUGUGUUGUUAUAUUUGUUUGUCUAUUUACUCUGAGUAGUCAGGUCCAGACCAUGUGUUGUGUGUUGUUGUAUUUGUUUGUCUAUUUACUCUGAGUAGUCAGGUCCAGACCAUGUGUUGUGUGUUGUUAUAUUUGUUUGUAGUCAGGUCCAGACCAUGUGUUGUGUGUUGUUAUAUUUGUUUGUCUAUUUACUCUGAGUAGUCAGGUCAGGUCCAGAUCAUGUGUUGUGUGUUGUUAUAUUUGUUUGUCUAUUUACUCUGAGUAGUCAGGUCCAGACCAUGUGUUGUUAGUUGUUGUAUUUGUAUUGUCUAUUUACUCUGAGUAGUCAGGUCCAGACCAUGUGUUGUUUGUUGAUAUAUUUGUUUGUCUAUUUACUCUGAAUAGUCAGGUCAGGUCCAGACCAUGUGUUGUGUGUUGUUAUAUUUGUUUGUCUAUUUACUCUGAGUAGUCAGGUCAGGUCUAGACCAUGUGUUGUGUGUUGUCAUAUUUGUUUGUCUAUUUACUCUGAGUAGUCAGGUCCAGACCAUGUGUUGUGUGUUGUGAUAUUUGUUUGUCUAUUUACUCUGAGUAGUCAGGUCAGGUCCAGACCAUGUGUUGUUAUAUUUGUUUGUCUAUUUACUCUGAGUAGUCAGGUCCAGACCAUGUGUUGUUAGUUGUUGUAUUUGUUUGUCUAUUUACUCUGAGUAGUCAGGUCCAGACCAUGUGUUGUUAGUUGUUGUAUUUGUUUGUCUAUUUACUCUGAGUAGUCAGGUCCAGACCAUGUGUUGUUAGUUGUUGUAUUUGUUUGUCUAUUUACUCUGAGUAGUCAGGUCAGGUCCAGACCAUGUGUUGUUUGUUGUUGUAUUUGUUUGUCUAUUUACUCUGAGUAGUCAGGUCCAGACCGUGUGUUGUGUGUUGUUAUAUUUGUUUGUCUAUUUACUCUGAGUAGUCAUGUCAGGUCCAGACCAUGUGUUGUUAUAUUUGUUUGUCUAUUUACUCUGAGUAGUCAGGUCCAGACAAUGUGUUGUUAGUUGUUAUUUGUUUGUCUAUUUACUCUGAGUAGUCAGGUCCAGACCAUGUGUUGUUUGUUGUUAUAUUUGUUUGUCUAUUUACUCUGAGUAGUCAGGUCCAGACCAUGUGUUGUGUGUUGUUAUAUUUGUUUGUCUAUUUACUCUGAGUAGUCAGGUCCAGAUCAUGUGUUGUGUGUUGUUAUAUUUGUUUGUCUAUUUACUCUGAGUAGUCAGGUCCAGACCAUGUGUUGUCAUGUUUGUUUGUCUAUUUACUCUGAGUAGUCCGGUGAGGUCCAGACCAUGUGUUGUGUGUUGUUAUAUUUGUUUGUCUAUUUACUCUGAGUAGUCAGGUCCAGACCAUGUGUUGUAUGUUGUUAUAUUUGUUUGUCUAUUUACUCUGAGUAGUCAGGUCCAGACCAUGUGUUGUGUGUUGUUAUAUUUGUUUGUCUAUUUACUCUGAGUAGUCAGGUCCAGACCAUGUGUUGUUUGUUGUUAUAUUUGUUUGUCUAUUUACUCUGAGUAGUCAGGUCCAGACCAUGUGUUGUUAGUUAUUGUAUUUGUUGUCUAUUUACUAUGAGUAGUCAGGUCCAGACCAUGUGUUGUGUGUUGUUUUAUUUGUUUGUCUAUUUACUCUGAGUAGUCAGGUCAGGUUCAGACCAUGUGUUGUGUUGUUACAUUUGUUUGAUAUCACAUUUGAGUAGCCAGGUCCAGACUAUGUGUUGUAAAUUGUUAUAUGCAGUGAGGUCCAAACCAUGUGUUGUGUGUUGUUGUAUUUUAUGUCUUUUUACUCUGAGUAUUCAGGUCAGGUCCAGAUCAUGUGUUGUCUGUUGUUACAUUUGUUUGUAUAUUUACUCUUGAGUAGUCAGGUCCAGACCAUGUGUUGUUUGUUGUUAUAUUAAUUGUCUAUUUACUCUGAGUAGUCAGGUCCAGACCAUGUGUUGUGUGUUGUUCUAUUAAUUGUCUAUUUACUCUGAAGUAGUCAGGUCCAGACCAUGUGUUGUCUGUUGUUACAUUUGUUUGUAUAUUUACUCUUGAGCAGUCAGGUCCAGACCAUGUGUUGUUAGUUGUUGUAUUUGUUUGUCUAUUUACUGUGAGUAGUCAGGUCCAGACCAUGUGUUGUUUGUUGUUGUAUUUGUUUGUCUAUUUACUCUGAGUAGUCAGGUCAGGUCCAGACCAUGUGUUGUCAGUUGUUGUAUUUGUUUGUCUAUUUACUCUGAGUAGUCAGGUCCAGACCAUGUGUUGUGUGUUGUUAUAUUUGUUUGUCUAUUUACUCUGAGUAGUCAGGUCCAGACCAUGUGUUGUGUGUUGUUAUAUUUGUUUGUCUAUUUACUAUGAAUAGUCCAUGUGUUGUUAGUUGUUGUAUUUGUUUGUCUAUUUACUCUCAGUAGUCAGGUCCAGACCAUGUGUUGUUUGUUGUCAUAUUUGUUUGUCUAUUUACUCUGAGUAGUCAGGUGCAGACCAUGUGUUGUAAGUUGUUGAAUUUGUUUGUCUAUUGACUAUGAAUAGU
rnacentral:lncRNA from 1 species